GAAAGGAAUAAGCCCCAGCGACGCUGCAUUUAUACUCGGGAUUGCACCAGCUUUAGCAAAGGAGCAUCUUCUAAAUGCAGAAAACAAAGGUCUCCUCUGCAGGGAUGUCAGCCCAGAUGGAUUCCGCUUCUACAUCAAUUUGUUUAACGAGAUUGAUCCCCAGAAUAUUUAUUCGCCAAAAACACAUGGACUAUACCACACUUGGAUCUCUGUGGCAAUGGCAGCACAUUGACACAAUUUUGAUUCAUGAAAAAGUGGAGUUCAGCUGACUGAACUUUGAUGUGACUUUUUACCUGAAUGUUCCGCCGUGUUGUAUCUUAUUUACAAAUUACAAGGCAUAACGUUUUCAUCAUUUGGUUGAUCAAUGACUUCUGGUGUGCCGUAUAUGUAAGUUGAGUCGAGGAUUUUGGAUA